rnacentral:rRNA from 1 species
UACGUAGGGUGCGAGCGUUAAUCGGAUUUACUGGGCGUAAAGCGUGCGCAGGCGGCCCGUUAAGACAGGUGUGAAAUCCCUGGGCUCAACCUAGGAAUUGCGCUUGUGACUGGCGGGCUCGAGUACGGUAGAGGGGGGUGGAAUUCCUGGUGUAGCAGUGAAAUGCGUAGAGAUCAGGAGGAACACCGAUGGCGAAGGCAGCCCCCUGGGCCUGUACUCACGCUCAUGCACGAAAGCGUGGGGAGCAAACAGG